GACGAACGCUGGCGGCGUGCUUAACACAUGCAAGUCGAACGGAAAGGCCUCUUUCGGGGGGUACUCGAGUGGUGAACGGGUGAGUAACACGUGAGUAACCUGUCCUUGACUUUGGGAUAACUUCAGGAAACUGGGGCUAAUACCGGAUAGGAGCUCCUGCUGCAUGGUGGGGGUGGAAAGUUUCGGCGGUUGGGGAUGGACUCGCGGCUUAUCAGCUUGUUGGUGGGGUAGUGGCUUACCAAGGCUUUGACGGGUAGCCGGCCUGAGAGGGUGACCGGCCACAUUGGGACUGAGAUACGGCCCAGACUCCUACGGGAGGCAGCAGUGGGGAAUAUUGCACAAUGGGUGGAAGCCUGAUGCAGCAACGCCGUGUGCGGGAUGACGGCCUUCGGGUUGUAAACCGCUUUCGCUCAUGACGAAGCUUUGUGUGACGGUAGUGGGUAAAGAAGCACCGGCUAACUACGUG
rnacentral:rRNA from 1 species